ensembl:lncRNA
AUGCUGGCUGAGAUCUUUUGGCACGGCACUCAGUGUGCCGAUCACCACCGGGACCACCUGCACUGGUUUCUGCCAGAGUCUUUGAAGUUCGAUCUUGAGGUCCUGAUAGCGGCUGAGUUUUUCCUGUUGUUUUUCGUCAAUGCGACUGUCACCUGGGAUGGCAACAUCAAUGACCCAAAACUUUUUCUUUCCACAACUGUGAUGUCUGGUGUGUUGUGUUCCAGACUGACAAAGUUCUGGAACACAACACACCAGACAUCACAGUUGUGGAAAAGAAAAAGGUUUGGAUCAUUGAUGUUGCCAUCCCAGGUGACAGUCGCAUUGACGAAAAACAACAGGAAAAACUCAGCUGCUAUCAGGACCUCAAGAUUGAACUCUGGCAGAAACCAGUGAAGGUGGUCCCGGUGGUGAUGGGCAGACUGGGUGCCGUGCCGAAAGAUCUCAGCCGGCAUUUGGAAACAAUAGACAUUGACAAAAUCACGAUCUGCCAACUGCAAAAGGCCACCCUGCUGGGAUCUGCACGCAUCAUCCGAAAAUACAUCACACAGUCCUAGACACUUGGGAAGUGUUUUUGACUUGUGAUUUUGUGAUAUGAAAUCCAGCAUAUCUAUCUUGUUUGCUGUGUCAUAAUAAUAAUAAUAAUAAUAAUAAUAAUAAUAAUAAUAAUAAUAAUAAUAAUAAUAAUAAAACAACACUUGGGAAGUGUUCAACAUUUCAUUGUUCCUUUUCAUCUCUUGAUAUCCUUCACACUGAAACACCCGGGCUAUCUGGCAGGACAUCUACAGGAGCUCAGCAAACCGGAAAACGUCGCAGCAAGGAAUUGCAACAUGCUGGCUGGGAGAAGAGCAAUCCCUCCCCAUCCAGCAAGGACAACCUCUUCCAUCCCGGUGGGUCUCUUUCAAGACCUAACAUUAGAGAUUGCCCCGGUCUCAAGCAGGUGGUCGGCACCCCAGAAGAGCUAUUAAGGAAUUUGAGCCAUCUGGUGCGUAUGAGGCGAUGGUGGUUGGGUUUGUUCUCAUUUAAUGGUGGUCAGUGAAAUGAUUAUGAGGAAGAAAUUCCAAGAGAUCAUUUAGCAGCAACACACAGCACAACUUGGUUCAAUUUUUUUCUCAUGUAAACAGCACAUGAAACUUCAAAGCACUUUUCAAUCUAAGGCCUUUCUACACUGUCAUAUCAUCCAGGUUAUCAAAGCAGAUAGUCGACAUUAUCUGCUUGGAACUAAAUUAUAUAAGUCUACACUGCCAUGUAAUCCAGUUCAAAGCAAAUAAUCUGUGGCUAGCAUGACUGCAUGCACCAUCGUUACCUUCCUGCAGAAGCAGUACCUAUUGAUCUACUCACAUUUGCAUGUUUUUGAGCUGCUAGGUUGGCAGAAGCUGGGGCUAACAGUGGAAACUCACCACACUCCCCGGAAUCGAACUGCCAGCCUUUUGGUCAGCAAGUUCAGCACCUCAGUGGUUUAGCCCACUGCACCACUGGGAGCUCCAUAAUAAAUAUACUUUAAUAAUAAUAAUUACAUCGGAUGCUCCAUCUACAAUUCAAUAUUAUCAUUAUUAUUAACAUCAUCAUCAUCAUCAUCAUCAUCAUCAUCGAAUAACAGAGUUGGAGGAGACAACAAUGGGCCAUCUAGUUCAGCACCAAUUAUUAUUAGUAAUUAUUUUUGUCUAUUAUUAUUAUUAGACUAAUAAUAAUAAUAAUAAUAAUAAUAAUAAUAAUACCCCACAUUUUCUCUCCACAAGGAGACUCAAAGCGGCUUCUAUUAUUAUUAUUAUUAUUAUUAUUAUUAUUAUUAUUAUUAUUAUUAAUAAUAAUAAUAAUAAUACCCCACAUUUUCUCUCCACAAGGAGACUCAAAGCAGCCUCUAAUGAUAAUAAUAAUAAUAAUAAUACCCCACAUUUUCUCUCCACAAGGAGACUCAAAGCGGCCUCUAUUAAUAAUAAUAAUAAUAAUAAUAAUAAUAAUAAUAAUAAUAAUACCCCACAUUUUCUCUUCACAAGGAGACUCAAAGCGGCCUCUAUUAAUAAUAAUAAUAAUAAUAAUAAUAAUAAUAAUAAUAAUAAUAAUAAUAAUAAUAAUACCCCACAUUUUCUCUCCACAAGGAGACUCAAAGCGGCCUCUAUUAAUAACAACAACAACAACAACAACAACAACAAUAAUAAUAAUAAUAAUAUCCCACAUUUUCUCUCCAUAAGGAGACUCAAAGCGGCCUCUAUUGUUAUUAAUAAUAAUAAUAAUAUCCCACAUUUUCUCUCCACAAGGAGACUCAAAGCGGCUAGUUUCUGGCAGUGUUGACUCAAUUCAAAGAGGAUAAUCCAGAUUCAGAAACUGGUUUAUACAGCAGUGUAGAUCCAGCCUGAGCCACCUUGGAUCACACAUCAGGAGAAAAGUGGCCUGUUUGUUAAUUACUUUGAUGUGAAAUGACUCAAGCCUUAUGUCAGGAGAAAGGUGGGGUAUAAAUGAUGUUUCUGUAAGCAAAUAUUAGAAACACAUUCAAACAGGCCAAGCAAAAACAAAAGUUAGCACACUAGCAAAGGAUUAUUUGGUAUAUGGUUGACAUUCUUCUCACCAUUCUGCUAGUUUUCCACUUGGAAAUAUAUUUGUUUUUUAUUAUUAGACUUUUUAAAAACUUUCUACUCAAUGUUUACCGGUGCUGAUGAAGAAACAAGGCCUCAAAGGUAUCUAAGGUAGGUUUGGAGAACUAAAUGUACACUAAUGGGGUCAUAAGAAGGUUAUUAUUCCACAUAGCCAGAAAUUAUAAGUGGUUGAGAGGAGUGAAAAAUAAUCAUCUUAGUUUCAGUCUGGGAAAUGAUGACGCUUCCCAAUGAGUUGCGUAAUUAUUUUGUAGCAUUGUUUCUAGAAGUACAUUUCAGCAAAUUAAUAUCCCUGUUUGAAUUUGUAGGGAGACUUUCCGAGCCCGCGUCGCCCAAAAAAGUGUGCAGGGGAAUGUCAUGAGCCAGCGGAGUUAACACAAAUGUCUUAUCCCAGGAAGCUAUCUGGGGUCACAGGCAAGUUACAUCUUCAAAAAGGAGAGAUAUUAUUUCUUUUUCUCCCCCUGACUUCUGAAAUGUCAUAACACAAAGAGUUGCGGAUGAUUUGUAUUCUUUCCAUAAGCCAUCUUGUUCGGAAUAUAAAUGCCCACGGCCCCGGGAGACCAGCAUUUUUCUCAGUGUGAAGAGUUUUGCAGUAGAGCCAGGAAGAAAACACUUAAAAUGAGAAAACAUUGGCUGAAAACUGGCAGAUUAGGAGACGACUUCAAGAUGACUGAAAACAACAAGAUUCAAGCGCAUAUAAAUUAUCGGGGAGGUCUAAAGUGUCAGAUAUUUCCAGCAGUCUUUCUGGCUUCCUUGCACAGCAGAAGUCCCAGUUUCAAUCCCCAGCAUUUCCAGUUAAAGCUAUUUUAGGGCUUGUCUACAUCGCCUUCUUAACCCAAAGUGUCCUGUUUUGUCUUUCAAGAACAGCCUUAAAACAAUGUGGUAAGUAAAUGAAAACUGCUUUACUUCAGCAAAACAUAAAGAACAGCACACUCAGUGGUAUAAUGCAAAAGAAAGCAAGGAAUUCUUACAGCAAACACAGUUCUUAAGUCUGAUAAAUUCCCAAAUCAAGUAGCAGUCUUACUUCAGACAAAGAAACAGCAAUAAAUCCUUAGGAGCAGUUUCCCAGAUGCAGACUCGAAGCAGGCACAAGGGGAGCGAAGGUUUAGGCAUUAGAGUCAGUUUGUUACCAGCAAGAGCUGGCUGCACCUAAGUCUGCUUUAUAGCCCUGAGUCCCCUCACAGCUACUAGGGCAGAUCCUAAUUACUCAGCUGCAUUUCUGGCAGCUAUUCUAGCUGAACAACAUCUCUUCUCUGUUUCCUUUCACCUUUCCUGAAAUGUAGGUACUUGCAAAAUCUCCUCCUCAGAUUCCGACUGCCCCUCUGACUCAUGAACAUUUUCCUGCUCCCCUUCUUCUGAAGAAGAGGAAUCUCUAACAUCCAGAAAUCAAACAUAGGUUCCUUCUACACUGCCCUAUAUCCCAGGAUCUGAUCCCAGACUAGAACCUUAUCUCAAAUUCUCUGGCAGUAUAGACUCACAUAACCCAGUUCAAAUCAGAUCAUCUGGGAUCAGAUUCUGCAAUUAUAUGAAGUAUCUGCUUUGAUAAUCUACAUUAAAUGGCAGUGUAGGACUCUAGGCCAAGUUCUGAAUCCCUAGACAACCACGAAAGAUUGGAGACCCUUCCACACAUCUGAAUAAGAUCCCACAUUUUCUGCUUUGAACUGGAUUAUGUCAGUGUAGACUCAGAUAACCCAAAGUAGAUAUCGUAAGAUUUUCUGCCUUGAUUUUCUGGGUUAUAUGGCUUUGUGGAAGGGUCCUGGGUGGCCUUGGGCAAGGCAUAAUGUCUUAGGCCCCUUCUACACUGCCAUAUAAUGCAGUUCAAAGCAAAUAAUCUGGAUUUUAUAUGGCAGUGUAGAUGGGGCCUUAGCCACAUACGCAAGCCAUAGCAAACCAUCUUAUAAUAUUAAAUCAUGCAAAUAAAUUUUUUAUCUUGGGACGACCAUAACUUAACGUUAGCUUGUGGAUAUAUACCAACAUGUCAAAAGAGAGCCAAUGAGAUGUAGUGGUUUGAUAGUUGAAUAAAGACUCUGGUUUGAAUCCCCAUUGAGCUAUGGAAACUCAGGCUCCUUCUACACUGCCAUAUAAUCCAGAUGAUGAAAGAUAAUACAGAUUAUCUGUUUUGAACUGCAUUAUAUGAGUCUACACUGCCAUAUAAUCCAGUUCAAAAUAGGUAAUAUGGAUUCUACAUGACAGUGUAAUAGAGGCAUGGUCUUGCAUGGUCUUGGC